AAAACUAGUAAGUAGAAAUCGUAGAAAUCAGAGGCCGAUUAAAGGAUUUAUUUUGUUACCCAGUAUGUUGUCAGUGAUGGAGGGCUGGAACACCCUGGCAUCAAGCUGUUCUUUGAGGACUCUGUGUGUGGUGACCUUCUGUCCACUAGUAAAUAACAACUCGGCAAGCUUAGUACUACUCUAAACAGUUCAAGUGUAGCAGGGACUAGACUGAGACAGUAUUUUCUUUCAAUUAUUCUAGCACUGGCGGUUAAGGAAAAGAAAAUAUUGAUGAACAGCUUUAGGCAUAAUCAUGCUGAAACUUCUGAAAGAUGCUGAAGGAGCAGUCAUUAUUUGUGUAUCAGAAGGUGAGGCGUACACUAUUUAGAAUUGGGUUGAGAAUACCAUAAUUUAAUACCAGCUGGCAGGCUACUUGUCAAAUGUCUGUAAUUUGUAGUGAGAG
rnacentral:lncRNA from 1 species